UACAGAGGUCUCAAGCGUUGUUCGGGAUUCAUUGGGGCGUAAAGGGUGUGUAGGUGGCGCGCUAAGUCGGGUGUGAAAUUUCGGAGCUUAACUCCGAAACUGCAUUCGAUACUGGCGUGCUUGAGGACUGGGAGAGGAGACUGGAAUUCAUGGUGUAGCAGUGGAAUGCGUAGAGAUCAUGGGGAAGACCAGUGGCGAAGGCGGGUCUCUGGACAGUUCCUGACACUGAGACACGAAGGCCAGGGGAGCAAACGGG
rnacentral:rRNA from 1 species